AGAUUGAACGCUGGCGGCAUGGCUAAAACAUGCAAGUCGAGCGCGAAAGUGGAGCAAUCCAUGAGUAGAGCGGCGAAAGGGUGAGUAAUGCGUUCCUACGUACAUCGAGGUCGGGGAUAGCCAGGGGAAACUCUGGGUAAUACCCGAUGUGAUCGAGAGAUCAAAGGCUUGCCGCCUUGAGAGCGGGGAACGUCCUAUCAGGUAGUUGGUGAGGUAACGGCUCGCCAAGCCAUUGACGGGUAGCGGGUGUGAGAGCAUGGCCCGCCACAUCGAAACUGAGACACUGUUCGGACUCCUACGGGAGGCUGCAGUAACGAAUCUUCCGCAAUGCGCGAAAGCGUGACGGAGCAAUGCCGCGUGCAGGAUGAACGCCCCGUCGGGGUAGUAAACUGCUGUCGAGGAUUAGGAACACAAUGACCAGUACCCAAAGGAAGAGAACGACUAACUCUGUCGCCAGCACGCCGA
rnacentral:rRNA from 1 species